GAAUUGCAUGUGAUGAAAAGCGUUAUAAUGGGUAAUUUGCGGCUGAAUACCGUGAUGCCACACCUUGGAGACCUGAUGCAAUCA
rfam:Picea glauca, whole genome shotgun sequence.